AUGCAGCUAUACUACGUUGAAAAACCGGUUCCCAUACGAUCACCGAAGUUAAGCAACGUUGGACCUAGUCAAUAACUAGAUGACUGACCGCUUGGGAAUACCAGAUGUUGUAA